rnacentral:tRNA from 1 species
GGCACCAUCGAAUAACUGGUUCAGUUCACCGGCCUUUCAAGUCGGAAAUUCGGGUUCGAGUCCCGAUGGUGCUA